rnacentral:rRNA from 1 species
CGGACGGGCGAGUAACACGUGGAUAACCUACCUAUAAGACUGGGAUAACUUCGGGAAACCGGAGCUAAUACCGGAUAAUAUAUUGAACCGCAUGGUUCAAUAGUGAAAGACGGUUUUGCUGUCACUUAUAGAUGGAUCCGCGCCGCAUUAGCUAGUUGGUAAGGUAACGGCUUACCAAGGCAACGAUGCGUAGCCGACCUGAGAGGGUGAUCGGCCACACUGGAACUGAGACACGGUCCAG